GCAGUGUUUUCCUGUAAUUCUUUAAGGACUUCUACCUUUUUAGCAGUGUUCUCAUAUAUUUCUUUAAGUGAGUUAUUAAUGACCUUCUUAAAAUCCUCUAACAGCAUCAUGAGAUAUGAUUUUAAAUCCAAAUCUUGCUUUUCAGGUGUGUUGGGGGUAUCCAGGACUGGCUGAGGUGGGAGUGCUGGGUUCUGAUGAUGGUGAGUGUUCUUGGUUUCCAUUAGUAAGAUUCUUAAGUUUGCCUUUUGCCAUCUGAUAAUCUCUGGCAUUAGUUGUUAUAGCUUUCUCUAGCUGGAGCCUGUUCCUCCUGUGUUUCUGUCAGCCUCUGUUCACAGUCCUGUGAGUCCAGCUCUCUCCUAAGUCUCAGUGGUCAGAGCACUCACUCCCCGCAGGCAAACUCUCCUCUUGCAGGGAAGGUGUAGAGAAGCCUAGCACCCAGAUCUGCCUCCUGGAUGAAGAUGAAGACCCGAAACAGGGUCUGUCCCAGAAGAUGUGUUGCCUCUGCAGUCUGCACACUCUCCAGCACAGACUGGUCUCUGAGGGACUUGGGACACAAGCUGUGAUUUUUCUUAUAUGUCAAGAAGAGUUCCUAGAAGACAACCUUAAAUCUUUUGGAACCGAGU
rnacentral:lncRNA from 1 species